rnacentral:misc_RNA from 1 species
GGCCGCACGCAUAUAUCGGGCUCACCCCGGAAGCCACAGAAAGAGACGCACACACACGGUUAUACGCACGCACGCAGAAGGUCACCGAAGCAUCAAGGGUGGCUCUGAGAAAUCGGAGCGCGACUGCUCAGCUCUGCUCUUCUUGAGGGUAGCCGCGCGCAGUCCAUCAUGAAGCGUCCUCGAGGUGGCUACACGGACUCCAACGACGAGCGCGCCGACAAGGUGCAUGCCUUCAUUAAGAGUCUGCACUUUUCUGUUCCGCUCUACCGCCUCCGUGAGCAGCAGGACCGCCGCGAAUGCCCCAAGUGUCACAAGCGUCGCCUCUUCUACUGCUAUGACUGCCUCAUUACCGUACACCCGGAGUCCCACCCACCACCGCUGGCACUGCCACUUAACGUGUACGUUGUGCUGCACCCUAACGAACUUCGCGGCAAGAGUACUAGCUUGGCUGCGUCGACCAUUUCACCCGACUUGCACAUUGUAGAGUAUCCGGCUGUGCCGGAGCAGCUGGAGCCAGAGCUCACGCUGGUCUUGUAUCCCGGCGAGCAGAGCGUGGAGCUGCACGAGGUGAAGCAUCUUGACCAGUACAAGCACGUCGUCUUCAUCGACAGCACGUGGCAGCAGAGCAAAGCGAUUGCAAGGGAUGAACGGGUGAGCAAAUUUAAACACGUCCGCAUCAAGUCGCAGACGUCGCUCUUCUGGCGCUUCCAAAACAAUGAUCCGACCUACCUCGCCACUGUCGAGGCGAUCUACUACUUUCUGCGCGAGUAUAUCACACAAGUGAAUAAGCUGAAGGCACAACCGGAGCACAGUGGCAGAAGACUAUCACCACCGCCCGUGCACCAGGUCGAGUCAAAGGAUAGCAAAGCCUCCACGUCGGCCUCCAGCGAAAUGAGUCCGAAGACCGCCGAUGAGGUGGCAACUAGCACCGACGCCACCGCCUUCUACCACGGGGAAGUGGAUGACCUCCUCUUCUACUACAUCAACCAGUACAUCGGCGUCCAGCAGCGCUACACCAGUGGCAAUCCGAACAAGUACACCGACCGCCACUUCAGCGGGUACAUUAUCCAAAACACUUCAUGGGAUGCGCUCGUUGCGCCGCCGCCGGCUGACAGCAACACCAGCGAAAAGGUGACCGAACCGCCACGCGAGACCGUCGAGUAAGGGUCGGGCACGCACACAUGUGUUUCUCUUUGAAUUUGUGUGUGCGUGCGUCUGAGUUGGUUCGAGGCUUCCACGCACUCAGAAGGCGAAGCAGUCGUACAAUGACCGCGUUCACCUGCAUAUCACUGGUGUUUGCGUGUGUAAAACGCAUGCCUUGGGCGCUUCUUCUCCUUCAGUGCGAUUGCCAGAGAGAGAGCACGCACACAAGGUCGUUUCUCCAACAACCCCUCUCCCCCACCCGUAAACGCGCGUAACGUUCAUGAAAACGAAAACAACGCGAGAAAAAAAGCUUAUCGAGUCGCAUCAACCCCUUCAUGUGACUUGAUCUUCAUUUCAGUUUCCAGCGUCCGUGACGCAGGUCGGUGCUUCGAACGAGGAAAUAGUCCUCUCUCGUUGCACACG